rnacentral:rRNA from 1 species
GCUAUUGGGAGUCGCAGAUACCAGGUGGCUGCAACUGUUUAUUAAAAACACAGCACUGUGCAAAAUCGUAAGAUGACGUAUACGGUGUGACGCCUGCCCGGUGCCGGAAGGUUAAUUGAUGGGGUUAGACUUCGGUCGAAGCUCUUGAUCGAAGCCCCGGUAAACGGCGGCCGUAACUAUAACGGUCCUAAGGUAGCGAAAUUCCUUGUCGGGUAAGUUCCGACCUGCACGAAUGGCGUAAUGAUGGCCACGCUGUCUCCACCCGAGACUCAGUGAAAUUGAAAUCGCUGUGAAGAUGCAGUGUACCCGCGGCUAGACGGAAAGACCCCGUGAACCUUUACUACAGCUUGGCACUGAACAUUGACCCUACAUGUGUAGGAUAGGUGGGAGCCUUUGAAGCAAGUACGCCAGUAUUUGUGGAGGCAAUCUUGAAAUACCACCCUUGUAUGCUUGAUGUUCUAACGUUGGCCCCUUAUCGGGGUUACGGACAGUGCCUGGUGGGUAGUUUGACUGGGGCGGUCUCCUCCCAAAGAGUAACGGAGGAGCACGAAGGUGGGCUAAACACGGUUGGACAUCGUGUGGUUAGUGCAAUGGCAUAAGCCCGCUUAACUGCGAGAAUGACGGUUCGAGCAGGUACGAAAGUAGGUCAUAGUGAUCCGGUGGUUCUGUAUGGAAGGGCCAUCGCUCAACGGAUAAAAGGUACUCCGGGGAUAACAGGCUGAUACCGCCCAAGAGUUCAUAUCGACGGCGGUGUUUGGCACCUCGAUGUCGGCUCAUCACAUCCUGGGGCUGAAGUCGGUCCCAAGGGUAUGGCUGUUCGCCAUUUAAAGUGGUACGCGAGCUGGGUUUAGAACGUCGUGAGACAGUUCGGUCCCUAUCUGCCGUGGGCGUUGGAAAAUUGAAAGGGGCUGCUCCUAGUACGAGAGGACCGGAGUGGACGAACCUCUGGUGUUCGGGUUGUCACGCCAGUGGCAUUGCCCGGUAGCUAAGUUCGGAAUCGAUAAGCGCUGAAAGCAUCUAAGCGCGAAGCGAGCCUUGAGAUGAGUUUUCCCUGGCACUUUAAGUGCCCUAAAGGGUUGUUCGAGACUAGAACGUUGAUAGGCAGGGUGUGUAAGCGCUGUGAGGCGUUGAGCUAACCUGUACUAAUUGCCCGUGAGGCUUAACCAUACAACACCCAAGGGGUUUUGUA